GGAGAGAUGGCCGAGUGGUUGAAGGCACCGGUCUUGAAAACCGGCAUACGGUAAAACGUAUCGAGGGUUCGAAUCCCUCUCUCUCCGCCA
rnacentral:tRNA from 1 species